GUUUGAUCCUGGCUCAGAUUGAACGCUGGCGGCAUGCCUUACACAUGCAAGUCGAACGGCAGCAUGAUCUAGCUUGCUAGAUUGAUGGCGAGUGGCGAACGGGUGAGUAAUACAUCGGAACGUGCCCUGUAGUGGGGGAUAACUAGUCGAAAGAUUAGCUAAUACCGCAUACGACCUGAGGGUGAAAGUGGGGGACCGCAAGGCCUCAUGCUAUAGGAGCGGCCGAUGUCUGAUUAGCUAGUUGGUGGGGUAAAGGCCCACCAAGGCGACGAUCAGUAGCUGGUCUGAGAGGACGAUCAGCCACACUGGGACUGAGACACGGCCCAGACUCCUACGGGAGGCAGCAGUGGGGAAUUUUGGACAAUGGGCGAAAGCCUGAUCCAGCAAUGCCGCGUGUGUGAAGAAGGCCUCGG
rnacentral:rRNA from 1 species